GGGCCAGUGUGAAAUUCAAAGUAUACUGGCAGCUGGCCAGUUAUGUACAUCAUAGUACUAACCUCAGCAUCCAUUCAUCUGACAACCUUCAGGAAAUCAUUAGAAACCAAUCAUUUGGAUCCACCACUGUUUGGACGAGGAAUUAGAGCCUUUAGGAUAAGAACCACACCUCUGCCAGAGUCUCCCCACCCAGCACCACACUGAAUCCCUGGGAGAGCAGCCUAUAGAGCUGGCAUAGAUGCCAGUGAGGACAGUGAUGCUGGGGGCAGGAUGGAGCUGUACUGUCAGCUAGAGAGAGGAGGGGCCUGCUGCCCUGCUAUAUAAAGACAGGAAGCCCGACUCCUCUAGAUGUGUCACUGUGCCGCCUCUCCCCAAUUGAGAUUCCCAUACUGUCCCACACUGUGCCCUCCUCAUCUCUUCCCAUCACUCUGGUCUGAGGGUCCCAGAGAAUUUCCCUGGUGGUCGCCCAUCUUUAUCUCUCUCCCUCUGGACUGAGGGCUCCCACGUCCCACCUGGCCUCCCGUACAAUCACGCUGAUCUGAAGGCACCUACCUACCUACCUGCAGCUUUUCAUUCGUUGACGCUUUUCUUGGGACCCGGCUCAAGAUGCCAGAGCCCACAAAGAAAGAUGAGAUGUCCAAUGGUGAAAAAGAGAGUGUUGCCACAGACAGUAGUGAGGCGCCAAUGCCCACACCUGAGAUAUCCCUCGAGGUCUCACCUCCACCCGCAGGUGGGUAACCAUGCACUGGUGUCAUGCCCCUCUUUUCUCCCCUUCCAACACGCGUGUUUGUUGUUGUGUGUCCACCGUUCUUGUUUUUCUUCCUUCACAAUGGGAUUUCUCAACUGUUCCUCAACGACACACAUGUUCACACACAAACAACGCAUUUAA
rnacentral:lncRNA from 8 species